CUCGGAUGAUCAGUCUUGGUGAGCAGACAGUUAACUCAAAUGAUGGGGUAGCCUCAGUUCCUAAGACGCGGGCAAGGAAGUAACGGCAAUGGCACACAGCAAGUAAGGAGCAAAAGUCAGGACUCAAACAAUGUCUCUUAUCUCCAGUCCAGCUUUCUCAUGGACCCUGCUGCUGAAGCUGGACCCCUCCACUGUCUUUCCCUAUGAAGACAGGGACCAGCACUUACCACCACCACCUACGAGCCACCAGCUGCUCCUUCCUGAGAAGGUUGGAGCUAAAGGUAAGCCCAGGAGAAUCAGCCAUCUCACAUCACAAACAAGGAGAGUCGAGGUAAUUUUGAGAGUUGGAAAAAGAUGCUCAAUGAGCUCUGGUGAGCCGGGAGAAGGCGGUCCUACGUCACCACUGUGCCGAAACCCUGGGAAGGCUUCAUCUGCGCAAAUUGGAAUACGGCUGCUCUAGACCACUCUACAUCUCCAUUUAAAUCUUAGCAUUGUUUAAAACUAAAAGACAAUUUAAAUAAACAUUAUCUCUUGCAACCCUGGAUGUGCA
rnacentral:lncRNA from 1 species